rnacentral:rRNA from 1 species
ACUCCUACGGGAGGCAGCAGUGGGGAAUAUUGCACAAUGGGCGCAAGCCUGAUGCAGCAACGCCGCGUGAGGGAUGACGGCCUUCGGGUUGUAAACCUCUUUUAGUAGGGAAGAAGGGCUUCGGCUUGACGGUACCUGCAGAAAAAGCACCGGCUAACUACGUGCCAGCAGCCGCGGUAAUACGUAGGGUGCGAGCGUUGUCCGGAAUUAUUGGGCGUAAAGAGCUCGUAGGCGGUUUGUCACGUCUGCUGUGAAAUCCCGAGGCUCAACCUCGGGCCUGCAGUGGGUACGGGCAGACUGGAGUGCGGUAGGGGAGAAUGGAAUUCCUGGUGUAGCGGUGGAAUGCGCAGAUAUCAGGAGGAACACCGAUGGCGAAGGCAGUUCUCUGGGCCGUAACUGACGCUGAGGAGCGAAAGCGUGGGGAGCGAACAGGAUUAGAUACCCUGGUAGUCCACGCCGUAAACGUUGGGCGCUAGAUGUGGGGACCUUUCCACGGUUUCCGUGUCGUAGCUAACGCAUUAAGCGCCCCGCCUGGGGAGUACGGCCGCAAGGCUAAAACUCAAAGGAAUUGACGGGGGCCCGCACAAGCGGCGGAGCAUGCGGAUUAAUUCGAUGCAACGCGAAGAACCUUACCAAGGCUUGACAUAACCGAGAACGCCGCAGAAAUGUGGAACUC